rnacentral:lncRNA from 1 species
CUCCAGGUUGAAACGAUGGCGGUCAGAACCGCCUGAGGUAAAAACGGGUGGCACUGGGGAAGCGGAGGCGUAGCUCCCGAGAGCCUCACACUUGUGCUCAGUGCCGCCUCACCCCUGGUGGAUCCGCGAUGGCCGCGGAUUCCCCUGGAUUGCCGGCGCUGGGCAGGAGCGCCACUUCUAAUCUCUCCCGAGACUGGACGCCCGGCGCCUUCCACGCGCGUUGUGUCUUUCCGGGCGGUCCCUCGAAGCUGGCUACCCCGCGGGCUGUUGACUGCAGUGGGAUCUGGUCACUCAGAUGCGGAUAGAGGGGUACGGGAGCCGGAGAGGUGGAACAGGUCCUUCCGGGUGCGGAGAGCUGGGCCGUCCAGCCGCCUCUUUGUUCCCGCGUGGGUCCCGCGCGGAAUCCCCACCACCGGGGCCGACUGUCGUGGUCCCUGGAGUCAGCACCCUGCCCUCCCCGCCGUGGUGGCGGGUGGCUGGGGGGUCCCCGGCCCGGCGAGCCCGGCGGAGCGACCCUGCGCUUCUGCCCUGGCGAGCUUCCGGACUCAGGCCAUUUAAAUUUUUUUCCCCAGCAGAAUGAAGUUACUCUUUGCCAAAGUCACGGUUUUUAAAUGUGUGAGCCUGAAAACAUAUCAUGCAGUCGUUUUAAAAAGUUUUUUUUUAAGUUGAUCUCGUGAAAGUAGGGAGUAAAAGAGUGGUUAUUCUUGUACAGAGGAGAGUUAGUGGGGAGGAAGAUGGGGAGAGGUUGGUCAACAGACACAAAGUUAUAGUUAGAAGGAAUAAGUUUUGGUAUUCUCUUGCACGUUUGGAUGACUAUACUCAACGAUAAUGUUAACUUCAAAAUAGCUAGAAGAGAGGAUUUUGAAUAUUCUCACCACAAAGAAAUGACAAGUGUUUUGGUGAUGGAUGUGCUAAUUACCCUGAUUAGAUGGUUGCACAAUGUGUAUAUGUAUGGAACCAUCACACUGUACCCCAGAAAUACAUGCAAUUAUGUGAGAACGCAUGUUAUGGGGAAAAUUGACCACACUACCCAGCUAAAUGAAAGGGAUAGGCUAUGGAGUACUAAAAAAAAAAAAGCAUUUUCAGUGCUCAUAAGUGCCAGCCAGUGUGCUAAAUCUGUGAUUCGUAGAUCAACACAGUCCCUACCCUCAAAGAGAGGUUCCAGUGGGCCAAAAUGUUAACACUGAUUAUAGAAGGCAAAAGUAUGACUUUUAUUUGCUUCUUUAGGCUUUAUUCGUAAAGUUCAUUUUCACAGUCUUGUUUUGUUCGUUUGUUUUGAGACGGAGUCUCGCUCUCCCCAGCUGGAGUGCAGUGGCGCGAUCUCGGCUCACUGAUACCUCUGCCUCCCCGGUUCAAGCGAUUCUCCUGCCUCAGCCUCCCAAGUAGCUGGGACUACAGGCACCUGACACCACCCUGGCUAUUUUUUGUAUUUUUAGUAGAGAUGAGGUUUCACCAUGUUGGUCAGGCUGGUCUCGAACUCCUGACCUCGUGAUCCGCCCGCCUUGGCCUCCCAAAGUGUUGGGAUUACAGGCGUGAGCCUCUGGGCCCAGCCCAUUUUCACAGUCUUGAAGUACAUUUUACAUUUACCUUUAGGUUCGUUCGAGUUAUUUUUCAGGAAAACGACAGUCAAAAGGUCCUUUAUGUUUGCAGAAGCUGUUGAUGGACUACACCCUGACCCAUUAAGGGGAUGCAAAGUCCAAAACUAUUUUCAUAAUAAUGCUAAGACAUUAGUUUUAUUUUCUACUCUCUCAAGUAUAUAGUGGAGUUUUCCAUUGUACAAUUGGACAACUGUACAGAGCUACGUAACUGGAUUUUCCACUGUACAGAGCUACAUAACUGGAUUUUCCAGUUGACCGAUGCAUAAUGUUAUGAAAUCUUAUGUGGGUAAAAGAUUAAUUUGAACCAUAAAAUACACCAGUAAACUUUAGUGUAACAGUCCAAAAUGUUCAUUCAUAUGGUUUCAGAUUCCUCACUGCAAUUAACCUUUAAGAAACUACCACUUGCUAAGUUAUCGUAUAGUAUCAAAAAAUAAUGUAUCACCUGAAAGGCUAUUAAAAUGCUUCCUUUUCCAACCGUGGGGGUGUAUCUAGGUGAAGCCAGGUUUUCCUCAUAUGCUUCAACCAAAGCAAUGUAUCCCAACAAACUGAAAGCAGAAGCAUAUAUGAGGACCCAGCUGUUUUCUAUUGAACCAGACAUUAAAGACAUUUGCCCGCCAGACACAGUGGCUUAGGCCUGUAAUUCCAGCACUUUGGGAGGCUGAGGCAGACGGUUCACUUGAGGUCAAGAGUUUGAGACCAGCCUAGCCAACGUGGCGAAACCCUGUCUCUACAAAAAGUACAAAAAAUAGCUGGGUGUGGUGGUGCACACCUGAAGUUCCAGCUUCUCAGGAAGCUGAAGCAUGAGAAUCGCUUGAACCCAAAGGCAGAGGUUGCAGUGAGCCAAGGUUGUGCCACUGCACUCCAACCUGGGGGACAGAGAGAGACCCCAUCUCAAAAUAAAUAAAUAAAUACAUACAUACAUACAUACAUACGUGCAUGCAUUUGCCAAAAUGUUAAACCGUGCUAUUCUUCCAAUAUUUUUUUGCUUGGGACAGUAUAGUAAUUUUGCAUUAAAAAGUGUUAGAUAUGUUAAUAUGUAAUGGGUAUUUUUUUUAAUGAACUUCAUAUAUAUCUUUUACAUUUCUCAGUUUCAAUUUCUACUAUGGUAAAUACUCAUAGGUAUAAACCCACAUAAACUAAAGAUCUGUAGUUCUUAAUAAUUUCUAAGAAUAAAGGGAUUCCAAAAAGUUUGAGAACCGACAUUAAAAAGUGCUUUAAAGCUUAAAAAACAUAAACCCUUCACUUACGUUCAAUUCUAUAAACAUUCUUUGCAGCUAAAUGCAAGAUGGUAUGGCAUCCAGACUCUGCUCAUAAGUAUCUGCAGUGAUCCAUACCUUGAUUGUACAUCUACUCUGCAUCCUGAGGACCUGAACAUGCUAACUGGUGGCUGCAGAUUUGUCUUCUAAGGAGCAAGUGUGGUCUGUGGACAGGCAGCUUCAGCCUCACCUGGGAUUUUGUUUGCACUAGAAAGUGCCAAGCCCUACCCUAGACCUAUUAAAGCAGAACUGGCGUUUAACAAGACACCCCAGGGUCUGGCCCCUGACUGCAGACUUCUAAUGGAAAGGAAAAGAGACUCUAACACAAUCUGCUAAUUAACCCACAGGUUGGAUUGAGAAGGAAAAAAAUCCACCUGAAUUCUUAAGAUAAAAUGUAUCAUUUAAAUAAUUAUUCUGGGUCUCUGCUUCUCCUGUUUGACAAGACAGCCGCAUCUUCUUGAGCAGUGCCAGCUGUGUCCCUGAGACAACAUGGUGAAGGUGAAGGCCAGAAAAAACAGAUUUGGCCAUAUUGGGGGCCUGGUCACCAGGGAUGCCAACUCUGGCAAAGUGGAUAUUGUCACUAUCAAUGACCUCAACUACAUGGUCUCCAUGUUCCAGUAUGAUUCCGCUCAUGGCAAGUUCCACGGCACCAUCAAGGCUGAGAACGGGAAGCCUGCCAUCAAUGACAAUCCCAUCACCAUCUCGCAGGAGUGAGAUCCCACCCAAAUCAAGUGGGGUCAUGCCAGCACUGAUUAUAUUGUGGCGGCCACCAGCAUCUUUGCCAGCAUGGAGAAGGCUGGGGAUCACCUAGAUGGGGGAGCCAAAAGGGUCAUCAUCACUGCCCCCUCUGCUGAUGGCCCCAUGUGUGUGAUGAGUGAAAGCUAUGAGAAGUACUGCCUGCAGUAAGAGCUUGCUACUAUUAAUAUCAUCAUUUUAGUAAUCAUACUCUGAAUCUUGGCAAAAAAGAAAAGACGGUUCUGAAAAUCAAGUCUGUCUGUUUCUGCCAGAAUACUCAUGAGACAGUUUGUUCCUAAAGCAGCAAUUAGGAGUAAAGAACCAGAACAGUGUGAUCAUCCAAAAAGUCAGCUUCUGGCUUAGCUCCAUCAGGAUCCCAAUUCUCUACGGAGUCGAGGUACUCUCCAUGGCGUUCCCAGGGGGUGAUAAAACAGAGGGGAAGAAGUCAUUCUCCCACCUUCUUCCUUCCGCAUACACCUAUGGCCUGAUCAUCACUGCAGCACCCCUCACUGCCCUGAGGUCCAAAUGGGGGUGCAGCACCCCUCACUGCCCUGAGGUCCAAAUGGGAGCUGGCGCACUCAGAUGCCCACAGGCGCCAUCGAGGAGGGAAGCAGGCUGGUGCAAACGAUCAACACAUGAACUUCGCUUUCAUGCUCGUCACCUAGUGAUAGUCUCCACCUACACAACUAAAGGUGUGCCGUCUCCCAGAUUCUAGAAACACAGCCUCCCUUGACUUUUUUUGAGACAGAGUCUCACUCUGUCACCCAGGCUGGUGUGCAGUGGCACGAUCUCAGCUCACUGCAACCUCUGCCCCCUGGGUUCAAGCAAUUGUCCUGCCUCACCCUCCCUAGUAGCUGGGAUUACAGGCAUGCGCUACUAUGCCUGGCUAAUUUUUGUAUUUUGGGUAGAGACGGGGUUUCACCAUGUUAGUCAGGCUGGUCUAAAACUCCUGACCUCAAGUGAUCCGCCCACCUCAGCCUCCCAAUGUGCUGGGAUUACAGGCAUGAGCCACUGUGCCCGGCCCAGGCUCACUUGAUUUACCUUGCAUUUUUCCACUUUUGACGGUGACACAGAUACAGAGAACAGGUUUGUUCAACACUUUAACAAUACAGACAUGGUCAUGACAGUCCCUAAGUGUUAGGAGCAACGGGGAAGAAUGCAGGCUGUGCUAAACUGACGGGCACAUAACUGCCCCUGGAGGUGAGCCACACCAGAGCCUUAUGCUGGAACACAGGGAAUGGAAGGCUGUAGAAAGGCAGCCCAGAGUGUGGACUGUGCUGAAGAACCUCCCAAUUCUUCAGUGCUGGCUCCUGUGGAUACAUACAUAGGGCAAUCAAAACAAUGCCAUGGGAAGGCCUGCAGCAGACGGAUAGGCACACAUCCACUCUGUAAGCAACAAUUCUUUUCUUUUUCUUUUCCUUUUUUUUUUUUUUUUUGUGACAGAGGCUCACUCUGUUGCCAGGCUGGAGUGGUGCAGUGGUGUAAUCUCGUCUCACUGCAGCCUCCCACUCCCAGAUUCAAGUAAUUCUCCUAUCUCAGCCUCCUGAGUAGCUGGGACUACAGGCAUGUGCCACCACGCCCAGCUAAUUUUUGUAUUUUUAGUAGAGACGGGGUUUCACCAUGUUGGCCAGGAUGGUCUUGAUCUUUUGACCUUGUGAUCUGCCUGGCUCGGUCUCCAGAAGUGCUGGGAUUACAGGCAUGAGCCACCGCGCCCAGCCAGCAACAAUUCUUUCUAACUUAACUCUGUGCAGAGUGUGCAGAGAUUCUUUUUUUUUUUUUUUUUUUUUUUUGAGAUGGAGUUUGGCUCUUGUCCAGGCUGGAGUGCAAUGGCGUGAUCUCAGCUCACUGCAACCUCUGCCUCCCGGGUUCAAGUGUUUCUCCUGCCUCAGCCUUCCGAGUAGCUGGUAUUACAGGCGUGCGCCACCACGCCCACCUAAUUUUUGUAAUUUUAGUAGAGACAGGGUUCCACCAUGUUGGUCAGGCUGAUCUCGAACUCCUGACCUCAGGCAAUCCACCCGCCUCAGCUUCUCAAAGUGCUGGGAUUACAGGCGUGAGCCACGGCACCCAGCUGAGAUUCUUAAAAUGGUGUUCAAACUUUAGGGUGUGCAAGAACCUUCGGAGACACUUGUUUAAAGUGCAGUCCUGGGGCUCAUUACCUGAGAUUCUGAAGCGGAGGCCCAGGAGUCUACUUUAAAAAAAUUUUUCUUUUUUUUUUUUUUUUUUUUGAGAUGGAGUUUUGCUCUUGUUGCCCAGGCUGGAGUGCAAUGGCGCGAUCUUGGCUCACCACAACCUUUGCCUCCUGGGUUCAAGUGAUUCUCCUGCCUCAGCCUCCCGACUAGCUGGGAUUACAGGCAUGCGCCACCAUGCUCGGCUAAUUUUGUAUUUUUAGUAGAGACAGGGUUUCUCCAUGUUGGUCAGGCUGGUCUUGAACUCCCGACCUCAUGUGAUCCACCCACCUCAGCCUCACAAAGUGCUAGGAUUAGAGGCAUGAGCCACCACACCCGGCUAAAAAAAUUUUUUUAAUAGGUAAUAGGCUUUACUUUUAAAGCAGUUUUAGAUUCACAGAAAAAUUGAAGAGACAGUUUGAAGAUUUUUCCAUAAACCCCAUACUAAGUUUCCCCUUUUAUUAACAUCUUACAUUAGUAUGGUAUAUUUGUGACAAUUAAGGAAUCAGUAUUGAUCUAUUAUUAUUAUUAUUAUUAUUAUUUUUAGAAAGAAUGUUGCUCUGUGGCCCAGGCUGGUGUGAGGUGGCGUGAUCUUGGCUCACUGCAACCUCCGCCUCCCGGGUUCAAGCGAUUCUCCUGCCUCAGCCUCCUGAGUAGCUGGGAUAACAGGUGUGUGCCACCAUGCCCGGCUAAUUUUUGUAUUUUUAGUACAGAGAGGGUUCCACCAUGUUGGUCAGGCUGGUCUCGAACUCUUGACCUCAUGAUCUGCCCACCUCGGCCUCCCAAAGUGCUGGGAUUACAGGCGCGAGCCACUGCACCUGGCCACCAGCCUCCUAUUCUAUUCAAAGUCACUCCUCUGCUCACUGAGAUAGAUGCAUAUCUGAGUUGCCUCCUUUGGAAAGGCUCAUCAGAAACUCUAAAGAACGUACCGUUUGUGUAUCACCCAUCUGUGACCUGGGAGCUCCGUCCCCUCUUUGAGUAUUCCUGCCUUCGCUUCAAGUUGUCCCGCCUUUACAGAUGGAACCAAUGUACUUCUUACAUAUAUCAGUUGAUGCCUCAUGUCUCCCUAAGUGUAUAAAACUAAGCUGUGCCUUGACCACCUUGGGCACAUGUCGUUAGGACUCCCUGAGGCUGUGUCACAGGGGCUUCCUCAACGUUGGCAAAAUAAACUUUCUAAGUUAACUGAGACCUGUCUCAGAUUUUAUGGGUUCACAUUAUGGUAACCACGAGGGGAUUCUGAGUGGAGGUGCCCCUGACCUUUGACAAAUCUAUUGGUUCUUGGUAGCAGCAUGAGCUAACUUUAUGGCUCAAGCCAAUAGGACAAUUUGCUGAGGUUUGAGAGCACCCCCUCCAGAGAAUCCCUGAUCUCUUAAAAUUUGGUCAAGAUCUAAAGUUUAUUUUGCUGUACAACUCCUCUUUUUUUUUUUUUUUAUUUUUAGUUUUACUUGCUUCUAAUAGGAAGGCAAGUUUUUCUGCUUCCAUGAUGAUAGAAGGCAGGUAACUCCUUUAUGUAGUUUGAGCUCGCUUCCAACAGGGAAGAUGAGUUUUUUUUUUUCCUGCUCCUAGGAUGGCAGAGAGUAGUCUACAGCCUGAGACCCAUCACUAGGUAAGAAACUGGUUUGAGGCCGGGCACGGUGGCUCAAGCCUGGAAUCCUAGCACUUUGGGAGGCCGACAUGGGCGGAUCACGAGGUCAGGAGUUCGAGACCAUCCUGGCCAACAUGGUGAAACCCUGUCUCUACUAAAAAUACAAAAAAAUUAGCAGGGCGUGGUGGU